rnacentral:rRNA from 1 species
GUGGAGCCGUAGCGAAAGCGAGUCUGAAUAGGGCGUUUAGUAUUUGGUCGUAGACCCGAAACCAGGUGAUCUACCCUUGGUCAGGUUGAAGUUCAGGUAACACUGAAUGGAGGACCGAACCGACUUACGUUGAAAAGUGAGCGGAUGAACUGAGGGUAGCGGAGAAAUUCCAAUCGAACCUGGAGAUAGCUGGUUCUCUCCGAAAUAGCUUUAGGGCUAGCCUCAAGUGAUGAUUAUUGGAGGUAGAGCACUGUUUGGACGAGGGGCCCCUCUCGGGUUACCGAAUUCAGACAAACUCCGAAUGCCAAUUAAUUUAACUUGGGAGUCAGAACAUGGGUGAUAAGGUCCAUGUUCGAAAGGGAAACAGCCCAGACCACCAGCUAAGGUCCCAAAAUAUAUGUUAAGUGGAAAAGGAUGUGGCGUUGCCCAGACAACUAGGAUGUUGGCUUAGAAGCAGCCAUCAUUUAAAGAGUGCGUAAUAGCUCACUAGUCGAGUGACACUGCGCCGAAAAUGUACCGGGGCUAAACAUAUUACCGAAGCUGUGGAUUGUCCUUUGGACAAUGGUAGGAGAGCGUUCUAAGGGCGUUGAAGCAUGAUCGCAAGGACAUGUGGAGCGCUUAGAAGUGAGAAUGCCGGUGUGAGUAGCGAAAGAUGGGUGAGAAUCCCGUCCACCGAUUGACUAAGGUUUCCAGAGGAAGGCUCGUCCGCUCUGGGUUAGUCGGGUCCUAAGCUGAGGCCGACAGGCGUAGGCGAUGGAUAACAGGUUGAUAUUCCUGUACCACCUAUAAUCGUUUUAAUCGAUGGGGGGACGCAGUAGGAUAGGCGAAGCGUGCGAUUGGAUUGCACGUCUAAGCAGUAAGGCUGAGUAUUAGGCAAAUCCGGUACUCGUUAAGGCUGAGCUGUGAUGGGGAGAAGACAUUGUGUCUUCGAGUCGUUGAUUUCACACUGCCGAGAAAAGCCUCUAGAUAGAAAAUAGGUGCCCGUACCGCAAACCGACACAGGUAGUCAAGAUGAGAAUUCUAAGGUGAGCGAGCGAACUCUCGUUAAGGAACUCGGCAAAAUGACCCCGUAACUUCGGGAGAAGGGGUGCUCUUUAGGGUUAACGCCCAGAAGAGCCGCAGUGAAUAGGCCCAAGCGACUGUUUAUCAAAAACACAGGUCUCUGCUAAACCGUAAGGUGAUGUAUAGGGGCUGACGCCUGCCCGGUGCUGGAAGGUUAAGAGGAGUGGUUAGCUUCUGCGAAGCUACGAAUCGAAGCCCCAGUAAACGGCGGCCGUAACUAUAACGGUCCUAAGGUAGCGAAAUUCCUUGUCGGGUAAGUUCCGACCCGCACGAAAGGCGUAACGAUUUGGGCACUGUCUCAACGAGAGACUCGGUGAAAUCAUAGUACCUGUGAAGAUGCAGGUUACCCGCGACAGGACGGAAAGACCCCGUGGAGCUUUACUGUAGCCUGAUAUUGAAAUUCGGCACAGCUUGUACAGGAUAGGUAGGAGCCUUUGAAACGUGAGCGUUAGCUUAUGUGGAGGCGCUGGUGGGAUACUACCCUAGCUGUGUUGGCUUUCUAACCCGCACCACUUAUCGUGGUGGGAGACAGUGUCAGGCGGGCAGUUUGACUGGGGCGGUCGCCUCCUAAAAGGUAACGGAGGCGCUCAAAGGUUCCCUCAGAAUGGUUGGAAAUCAUUCAUAGAGUGUAAAGGCAUAAGGGAGCUUGACUGCGAGACCUACAAGUCGAGCAGGGUCGAAAGACGGACUUAGUGAUCCGGUGGUUCCGCAUGGAAGGGCCAUCGCUCAACGGAUAAAAGCUACCCCGGGGAUAACAGGCUUAUCUCCCCCAAGAGUUCACAUCGACGGGGAGGUUUGGCACCUCGAUGUCGGCUCAUCGCAUCCUGGGGCUGUAGUCGGUCCCAAGGG